rnacentral:rRNA from 1 species
CAGCAGCCGCGGUAAUACGUAGGGGGCAAGCGUUGUCCGGAAUUACUGGGCGUAAAGGGUGCGUAGGCGGCCGAUUAAGUCAGAUGUGAAAUACCAGGGCUUAACCCUGGGGGUGCAUUUGAAACUGGUUGGCUUGAGUGCAGGAGAGGAAAGUGGAAUUCCUAGUGUAGCGGUGAAAUGCGUAGAGAUUAGGAGGAACACCAGUGGCGAAGGCGACUUUCUGGACUGUAACUGACGCUGAGGCACGAAAGCGUGGGUAGCGAACAGGAUUAGAUACCCUGGUAGUCCACGCCGUAAACGAUGGAUACUAGGUGUAGGAGGUAUCGACCCCUUCUGUGCCGUAGUUAACGCAAUAAGUAUCCCGCCUGGGGAGUACGGCCGCAAGGCUGAAACUCAAAGGAAUUGACGGGGGCCCGCACAAGCAGCGGAGCAUGUGGUUUAAUUCGAAGCAACGCGAAGAACCUUACCAGGGCUUGACAUCCCUCUGACCGGUGUAGAGAUACACCUUUCCUUCGGGACAGGGGAGACAGGUGGUGCAUGGCC